UCAAAUCAGAAGCAUACAUCUUGGACAAAUUUUUGUAAACAGGUAUUCAAAUAACUGUUAAUAAACAUGCAAAACACCGCUAUCAAAACAACCAACUGCACAUUUAGUCUUCCUAUUAUAACGGCGAUCUUGUAUGUAGUUCAGGAAUACUCUCAUUAGAUUUGACGCAAAAGUUGCGGCAACUUUUCCAGACAGGGAUAGUCGAAUGACUGUAAGAAAGAAAGCUUAACACCAAGAUCAAGAUAAACAGUCGUAAACGCAUUCACACACAUAUAUCUGCAUUUGAGCUUACUGAUUAUUUUUGUGAAGAAAAACAAAUUACGAACUUAAUCAAAAGUAAUUGAUACAAAGUGAAACUUAUAUAUUACGUUGUUGUAUUAGUGAGAAUACAAGGUGUUUAUCACAAAUGUUAAUUCACCUGAUUGGGUGGAGCUUACGUUUUGAUUAACAUAAGGACAGUCUAUUUGAAGAUGUGUGUGAUAAAGAGGAUUGCCACUUCAAUUAUUAUUGAUUUCUAAUCACCUAUCAUGUCACCAAACGAAUUUACAAACAAAAUGAGUGUAUGAUGUGGACAGUUCACUGAUGAGUGUAUAAAACACCUAUAUAUAGAUGAACUAGUCUAUUAUGAGCAAACCGAUAAAACUCUGCCCAGUCAAGUAAAAGAAAUCAAGCAGUACUUGCUGCCAUUGCAAGUUUUGCUAUUGCGGCAGUAUAUUAGUGAUAUAGCAAGGUGUAUACUUCCUGGUGUUGCAAGUUGUACUAUUGGGAAAUAUGAAUACUUCAUCGAUGUGUAUUAGUCAGAAUAUACGAUGUAUACUUGCUGGUGUUGCAAGUCGUUAUAUUGUGGAAGUUUAUAAGUGAAAGUCAACUGUGUUUAAUUUUACCAGUUUGGAAUAUAUUCAUUUGGUUCAGAUUCAAAGUGAUAAACAGUGUAAAGUAAAAUCACAAAACUACUGAGCUCCGAGGAAAAUUCAAAACGGAAAGUCCCUAAUUAAAUGACAAAAAAAACCCACAUCAAACGAAUGGACAACAACAACUUAACAAACAGACAUUACAGGUAAAAACUCUAAUUCGAAAGGUCACAUUCUCGAAAAGAGAACGGGAUUGUAGUUACGACAUACAUGUU